rnacentral:rRNA from 1 species
GACGAACGCUGGCGGCGUGCCUAAUACAUGCAAGUAGAACGCUGAAGGAGGAGCUUGCUUCUCUGGAUGAGUUGCGAACGGGUGAGUAACGCGUAGGUAACCUGCCUGGUAGCGGGGGAUAACUAUUGGAAACGAUAGCUAAUACCGCAUAAGAGUAGAUGUUGCAUGACAUUUGCUUAAAAGGUGCAAUUGCAUCACUACCAGAUGGACCUGCGUUGUAUUAGCUAGUUGGUGGGGUAACGGCUCACCAAGGCGACGAUACAUAGCCGACCUGAGAGGGGGGUCGGCCACCCUGGGACUGGGACACGGCCCAGACUCCUACGGGAGGCAGCAGUAGGGAAUCGUCGGCAAUGGACGGAAGUCUGACCGAGCAACGCCGCGUGAGGGAAGAAGGUUUUCGGAUCGUAAAGCUCUGUUGUAAGAGAAGAACGAGUGUGAGAGUGGAAAGUUCACACUGUGACGGUAUCUUACCAGAAAGGGACGGCUAACUACGUG